GGCAGGCGGUGGAACCACAGAGCUAAAUCCCCGGCCUUAGUAACAUACAAUUUAAAAACUCUCAGUGUUUAAGACAAGAAGUUGUCUGGGUGCCAAGAGGCUGUGCUCUGCCUUUUCCCCGGACCCCAGCUGAUAAAGGAGGCUGUCUGGAACAGUGUCGGCCGUCGGCAAAGGAGAGAAACCUUUCUAGAGAGCCCUACACCAGCAAUUAGAAGUUCAUUCCGGAAGUAGCAAUUAGAAGUUCAUUCCGGAAGUAAUGUGUGUCACUUCCCGCCCUGGCCAGAAUGAGUCACGUGACCGCAGGCCAAGCUGCAGGGUGGGGCGGAACAGGAAGUCCGUUUGCACCUCAGUUCCUGAAGGCAGGUUGCUGAGGCCAGAACGGGACUGGUGAGGAUGGCAAAUGUCGGAGUAGAGACCAAUGCGUAAUAUAGCUUCUCCGAGGCACUUAGAAAGCAACUUAGCAAAGAAAAAUAAGUAGCGGUCCAGGAAUAAAGCAAGAGCCCACAGGAAAGACUAGAUCUACAUAGUGAGACCCUGUCUCAAAAAAAGUAAAGAAAAAAAAAAAGAAACAGCUUGGAACACUAACUCUGCUUUCAGGGAAGGGAACCUAUGUCGAGUGAUACAAGCAAUAUACCAAGAAAAAGUUGGAAAGAGGGUCCAUACGGAAGGCUACCAGACCGGGUGCCAGUGACCAAGGGAGCUUGGAAGCCAGCACUGAAGGUGGCAGGACCCUUGCCACCGCCACCAACGUGGGUCCCUGAUGGACCUCACUCAGGAGCAUCCGCAGCAGACUCCUGUAAGGAAGAAAUAAACUUUUGUUACAGCAGCUACUGCCACUCUGAUCCAUCCUAACUUUGUGAAGGGGUUAAGGAUGUUGUUCAAGAGUUGCAAGAGUUUGUUCAACCCCCACCCCAGUAGAUAUUAAACCUCCUUAGAAAGCUGCUCAGUGAGUGCACAUGGGCAGUCCGACACCCAGAGGACAGAGUGUGGUGACUUUUUGGCAUGCUGUUGCUGAUGACAAUCUGACCGUGGCUUGGUUUCCACGCCUGUGGCUCCAGGAUUUCCAGGCUGAGCAACGGUGUCCUUAUGGGGUAGGGGGUGGGGCACACUUGGAGCAUUGAUGCGCCCCCUGUGGAUGCGCCUUGGGGUGCAGGCAUCAGCAUCUGCUGGAUCACAAUCGGAAGUUCUCAUCUAAAAAUCAGCCCAGGGAGGUGGGGCAUCUUUUAAAAAGGGCUGAGUGGGCAGGAGGUUAAAUGUGUAAAAGCAGUUCCAGCCAGGUGUGGUGGUGCAUGUCUAUAA